UCUUCCGCAAUGGACGAAAGUCUGACGGAGCAACGCCGCGUGAGUGAUGAAGGCUUUCGGGUCGUAAAACUCUGUUGUUAGGGAAGAACAAGUGCUAGUUGAGUAUGCUGGUACUUUGACGGUACCUAACCAGAAAGCCACGGCUAACUACGCGCUCGCAUCCGCGGUAAUACGUAGGUGGCAAGCGUUAUCCGGAAUUAUUGGGCGUAAAGCGCGCGCAGGUGGUUUCUUAAGUCUGAUGUGAAAGCCCACGGCUCAACCGUGGAGGGUCAUUGGAAACUGGGAGACUUGAGUGCAGAAGAGGAAAGUGGAAUUCCAUGUGUAGCGGUGAAAUGCGUAGAGAUAUGGAGGAACACCAGUGGCGAAGGCGACUUUCUGGUCUGUAACUGACACUGAGGCGCGAAAGCGUGGGGAGCAAACAGG
rnacentral:rRNA from 1 species